CAAAUACAAUAAUGAAAGUCUUCAUUUUCUUAGUCCUGCUGGCCAUCACUACUUCAUUCGCCAAGAAGCAGGAGGAAUUGAAGGGGAAAAGUUGAACAAUGAGCUUGAAGCAAGCAUAGUGAAGAAAGCUGGACAGACCAUGCAAUCUCUGGGCAAGAUCCUGCAGGGCGAUUUCUCAUUAAGCACUUUGGAAGAAAGGGAAAUACUUCUGAGUGCCAUGAAAGGCCUGAGCCUUGCUGAUCAGCCAGAGGAAGGCAGCGAAGAAUACUUCCUAACGCUUAUUGUGAAAGCCAUCGUUAUUGGAGUACUGACGGGCGGAGCCUCAGCUGGCAUAAAACACCUGGUGGUGCGGAAUCAACA